rnacentral:lncRNA from 1 species
CAGAGGCUAAAGAAGGCAUUGGAUCCCUCAGAACUGGAGUUGUAGACGGUUGUGAGCCGCCAGAAAUCAUGAGGUCCAACGGAUUUUGUUUGGCAAACACAGAAACAAUAGUCAUUGACCACAGCAUACCCAAUGGGAAGGACCAGCUCCUGGAUGCGGAUUCCACAGAGCAUUUGUUUGAGAAUGGUGGUGAGUUCACCUCAGAGUUGGAAGAUGGUGAUGACCCAGCAGCUUACGUCACCAACUUGUCCUAUUACCAUCUGGUUCCAUUUGAGACGGACAUUUUGGACUGAGCCUCUCCACAGGGCCUUGUCUGCCUCUAUUCUUGACUGCAUGUCCUCUUGCUAUCUACUGUGUGUCCCCAAGGGCCAACGCUGCUGUUCACCUGGGCCUCUGAGGGCCCUGAAGUUCAACAGGCCUGGGUUUUUAGAAAGCGGAGGAGGCACAAGGGAUCUUGAUGACCACAGGCAGCUCUGAGGGCCUUCUCCCUGCACUCAGCCUGCCUUUUAUGGGACACACUAUUCCUGCAGACCAUGCUUCCUCUUGUCUCUGCUGGCUUGGGGAGCAUUCCUCUUGGUCACAUGGCCCUGACUCCCCACUUUUCUCUUGUGUAUCAAAGGCACUAAGCUUUUCAAGAGGAUUUUUGGUAAGUUACCAAGUUCCGGACCUCAUGGGCAGGGGAUAUUAAGUAACUCAGGACUUUCCUGAGAAGAAGGACGUGUGUCUUCUCUUUUUCUUCUUUACAUCUGCUCCCUGGAAACUGGGUUUGGGGUCAGUUGG